rnacentral:rRNA from 1 species
AUUAAUAUGAGUUUGAUCCUGGCUCAGAAUGAACGCUAUUAGUAUGCUUUACACAUGCGAGUUUUAUAUUGUUUUUUUAAAUGAUAUAGCGAACGGGUGAGUAAUACGCAGAAUAAUUACCUUUAAUUACAGUAUAAAAUAUUCAUUAGUUUUUUUGUAAAUUAAUGUUAAUAAUUAUUUAGUUUUAAUACUAAAAACUUAUUUUUAUAUAAGUGUUGAAAGAUAUAUCUGUGUAAGAUUAGGUUGUUGGUAGUGUAAAGACUUACCAAGCCGAUGAUCUUUAGUUGAUUUUAGAGGAUGAUCAACCACACUGGAACUGAGAUAAGGUCCAGGCUAAAUUUUUUGGCCAGCAGUGAGGAAUAUUGGACAAUGAACGAAAGUUUGAUCCAGCAAUACUAAUUGAAUGAUGACAGCUUUUUGGUUGUAAAGUUCUUUCAUUAAAUUUGAUAAUGACAUUAUUUAAAGAAGAAGUCCCGGCUAAUCUCGUGCCAGCAGCCGCGGUAAUACGGGAGGGGCUAGCGUUAUUCGGAAUUAUUGGGCGUAAAGAGUUCGUAGACGGUAUUGUAAGUUAAUUGUUAAAGUUUAGAGUUUAAUUUUAAAUUUGCAAUUAAUACUGCUUUACUUGAGUUUAAAUUAGAAAAAUAGAAUUCCAUGUGGAGAAGUAAUAUUUGUAGAUAUAUGGAGGAAUUUCAGUAGUGAAGACGAUUUUUUAUUAAAAACUGACGUUGAGGAACGAAAGUAUAGGUAGCAAACAGGAUUAGAUACCCUGGUAGUCUAUACUGUAAACGAUGAGUGCUAAAAUUUAAAAUUUUUAGGUUUUAAGCUAACGCGUUAAGCACUCCGCCUGAGGAGUAUAGUCGCAAGAUUGGAACUCAAAGGAAUUGACGGGGGCUUACUAUAAGUGGUGGAGCAUGUGGUUUAAUGCGAUAAUCCGCGCAAAACCUUACCAGUUCUUGACAUAAUUAGAUAUAAAUAAUGUAUUAAUAAACAUUCUUUUACUUAUUUAAUUACAGGUGUUGCACGACUGUCGUCAGCUCGUGUCGUGAGAUUUUUGGUUAAUUCCUUUAACGAGCGCAACUCUUAUCCUUUUUUUUUAUAAUCUUUGAUACUAUUUUCAAUUUUUUAUAUAAAAGAAACAGUCAACUAUAAGUUGAAGGAAGGUAAGAAUUAAGUCAAGUCACUGUGGCCUUUAUGAACUGGGCUACACACGUGCUACAAUGGAAAAUACAAUGUGUUACAAUAAUUAUUAAAAGUUGGAGUUAACCUUUAAAAUUUUUCUUAGUUCGGAUUGUAGACUGAAACUCGUCUACAUGAAGUUGGAAUCACUAGUAAUCACAAAUCAGAACGUUGUGGUGAAUAUAUGUCUUAGCCUUGUACACACCGCCCGUCACAUGCAGGAAGUUAAUAUUAUUUGAAAUUUUAUAGAAACUAAUUUUUUAAAUUAUUUUAAUAAUUAAAGAGUUACUAAUUUUCUUAAAAUUAUUACAAUAUUAAUAACUUGGAUGAAGUCGUAACAAGGUAGCUGUACGGGAACGUGUAGCUGGAAUAUAAAUGGA